GUAAAUUCAUUUUUAAUGGACAAAUAGAAUUUUCGUUCUUUGAUUUUUCAUUGUAAAGUUAAAUGACAAAGGUUGUGAAUUGUCCAAAUAAUCAGACCUGUUCACAUGUCUCCAAGAAUAGAGGAAACACCUCCAAUCGCGCACCGAUGGAGGAAAACCCUAACCUCCCGCUCCUCCCCAAGCGAGAAUCCUCCCCCAGAGCCUCUGUAUGCGAAACCCCCAAGAGAGAGAGAGAG
rnacentral:lncRNA from 1 species